GCUUCUACUAUGCAGGCAGAGCGCCUCGCGCUGCCUCGCAGGACAUACGUACGUAUCGUGCCGUCCCGCGCUCGCUUCGCUGUUACGAACCGGUCUUGUAAAUGUGAUCACACGUUUCUCCGCUAAUAAUAUUAUUGUGCAGUGUUUUAUACCAACUUUUGAAAAGGCUUUCUGUGAACAUAGUGCUUACUUUUUCCGAGGACAAAGCUUUUGUUGAGUGCGUGCGUUGUAGCUCACUUUCCGGUGGUAGUGUAAGUUUUGAAAAGUUUUUUCUGUGAAUAAUCAAGUGACACAAACUGUUUUAUCUUGUGGAAUAAUCGUUUGUGCGACGCGUUAAGCCCGUUGAUUCGAUUGGAUUUGUUUUCACGUUCGUAAGUGAAGUUUAGACAACUUUGAUAGAAUUUAACUUAAAAAAGUUGACUUAUCUUCAUUUGGGAGACCAAGAAAACGCUUAAGUUGAACUUCAAAUUUAAGCAGUUGACAACACUCGCGGCGGCUUAAACAUGUCAUAAGGCACUAUAUGGUGAUUGGACGAUGAGCAAUGGAAUCACGCAGCGCGCCGCCGAGCCCCGACGAGUGUGGGGAGGCGGUGUUCGACUCACGCUGUGGACGAUACCCACCACCCUCGCUCCAGAGAGCGUUUGCGAGCUGCCGAGAGACCGGCCGACCGCGUCCCCAUCAUCGACACGCAACGUCAGAACCAGCUCGCCCAGACGAUCGAGUACUCACCACAGCAGAGGUUCACGAUUACCCUUCAUCCGAAUCCGGAAUCGCUGCCGACUGCCCACACGCCCAUUCGAGCAAUGCCGACGAUAGUCCUUGCUAUGAUCGAUCAGACUACGAGGGAAACUCCAGUUAUAGUUUAAGACAUAAUUUUCUUCACACAAUCGAUUGCAAUAAGCAUAGAUCGGAUUAUAACCGUAGUCAUACACCAGACUAUAAUCACGAUGAUUCCGACUGUGAUAGAGGACAUCCACGGUCGCAAACAGCACGUCGGCCACAUCGAAAACAUCGACGCGAAGAUGGCGACGGAGCUCAAUCACUGGAUGAACGCUGUGCACGCGAUCUCGAUGAAAUAUUGCCCGCCAGACUUGCAGCUGUAAAUCUUUCUAGGGACCCACCGCCACAAUCGUGGAACCGAAGUAAUAUCGCGGCUACUAUGGAACGAUUUGAACCGGUCGAUUAUUCAUACGCCUACUACGACCAUCAUUUAUCAAUGCCUUCCUCGUCAAGAAAAGCGAACCGCCAACGGGGACGUGGUGGGAUAGUGCGAGAUCGAACAAACCGUCAUAAUUUUGUUACAAGAUACGGUACCGAAGAAAAUAUCUACGAGGAAAUAACUGACGGGUCUAGAACGUGUCCAAAGCAUCGGUUUGUUCCUAGACAGUCUCUAGUUUCACUCGAUAGAAGUGUUGUUGAAGAGGAAGUACGUCGAGUAGAGUCGAGGCAUAAGAGAAUAUUGGGAGAAUUAAAUCUAAGCGUCGAAGCUAUGCUUAUGCCCGAGUGUGAAUCCCCUGAUUCUGAACGUGCUGAAGAUAGGGAUAACAUAGAAGAACUACUUAGGGUAGGUCCAACAGAUGAAUUAUUAUCACCAGCUAGUUGUAAUCCCCCAGAUUUGGAUAGUGGCUUUAGUGGAAGUAGUAGUGGAGCAAGCUAUGUAGGUAGUUUGCGAAGAAAACCGACAGGAUCUGUACCUCAUUUGCCAGCUGUAGCAUAUGGAACGCGGGGUGCGAGUGUUCGUAUCUUAGGUGCUGAAGAAUGUAAUCUACGUUGUCCCAAAGACGGACCGUCGCCGAGAAGUUCAAGUUGCGGUGACGCCAAAACCAGUGGCUUCUGGAAUAAGAGAGCGUGGAAGAAAAUUUCUGGUUUCUCCAGCUCUAACAGUAUAAACAAAGCAGGAUUAACAGGUCUGCUCGUUAGGUACACUUUCCGGCGUAAGUCCGGCUCGCAGGGCUCUCAGGGCUCUCAGGGCAAGAGGCGUGCCGAGCCCGUCAAAUGCGAUGCGUGCCUCUCACAACGAUGUUAGCCGCUUUUGAUGAUGAAGCCUGUAGGCCAAGCAGAGCUAAAUCCAGAACGGCAACAAUACCAUACAGCUACUCCAACGGAAAACUGGUGGUGCCACUGGAUUCCCUAGCGCAGAGCUGAGGGGUGGAACCCCCUCGCAAUUCCCGCCUCCAACUCCUUCGAAGGACUACUCAGUACUAAGCGGCAUCGAUAAAAGCCAUCUGCAAAGUUGCUCGAAACAUGCAACUGUUACAUGUUAACCUUACAUUAACCUCGCCUAAAGUUAAGAAUUGUUCACAUCGAAACGCAAUACUGAGACCGUCACUGAUUAGGACCGGCGCGGAGUUAUCUUAUCUAUUCUAUACUACGCUCUGUUGACGGAGAAAUUUUAUCGCUAGUUGUGUCAAUUGCAUUAGAAUGAAAGCUAACUUGCAUACUUACUCCUUAUCAAAGUACAUGUUUCGACUAUAUCAGUCGAUGUUUAAAGAGAAUUUAUUUUAAUAUCAACAUUCCAUACGUCACAUGCAAGGGGUACCACAUUGGUGUCACUUUCACCUCUAAGGGCGUCUCAAAGACACUGUUUUAGGCUUUGACGUUAAUAGAGUUUGUAUCAUAAAAGCCAUUGUAAAUAUAAAUAUAAUAACUUACUUGAUGUUAAAAGAGGCGUAUACGUUGAAGUGAUAGAAGAGCCUAAUUGAUAUUUUGUAUUGUUAAGACAACAGUUUCAUAGAAACAUAAUGACUACAUUGUUGUUACUUAUCAAUUUUUAGUAGAUAUUAGGUACAAAAAGGCUGACACGAUUAAUCCGAUUUUAUACAUAAAAAUGGCUUUUUUAUAUUUAUCAAAGCUUUCUUGUACCUCGUAAUUGUUAGUGUCAGUUGAUUUGUGGUGUAAAAUUUUAAAUUUAUGAGAAUUAAGUAAAAUUUUCUUUAGUUCAAAAUUGUAGUCAUCUAACAUAUUUGAAAAUCAAGGUCCAAUGUAUUAUUUUUACGCGUCACUUUUCUGUAAAAUAAUAAUAAUGAAUCAUUAGUAUUAUUUUUAAAAUAAUGCCGUUAAUUUUUGGUGAAAAUAAUAUGAUUGUUAAUAUUUGUUAGUAAUAAGUAGUUGUAAAUUUUGUAAAUAAACAUAAAAAUGGUGCACUCAUUUUACGUCGUAUGUAACUUGUACAUAAACAUUAAAUAUGUGUCGCAAUUGUGUUAGAUAGUAUUUAUAUGCGAUUAUAUAGGUUACAGAUGUGUACAACUCAUGAAAAUCAAAUCUGCCCAGUGACUGCCGGCCUUCAAAUAGAGUAUUGAUUUAUGUGUACAGUUACAAUUUGGAUUUACAUAAACACUAUCGAACUCACGACAGAUAGACUAACUUAUUCAUAAUGAAUCACUUUGUAAAAAAAAUUACAAUUUUUAUAUGGAAGCUUCUAUUCUAUCUCUAUCUUAAUUUUCUAUUCAAACGUUCAGAAUGAUCUUUGUAAAUUUUGUUGAUAUAAGCUUUUUUACCUUUAAUACGCCAAACAUAGAAACUGUUGAUAUUUAAAUAAUAAUUAUUAUGAAAAGAUUAGGAUCGAUUCAUCAUCAAAAUCGUACCAUUUUCAAAACCCCUCCAUUGUAAAAUCAUCAUUAAAAUACUACAUAUGGGACAAGAUUUAAAGAAACAAUCUCUUUGCCGUCAAGCGUCAUGAUAUUUAUUAUGAUCUCAUAAUUUAAUUCAUCUUUUUCCAUGAGAUGAGCAACUACAAUGCUAUUUACUUUGGUACGUAAUUUAAUUGACAGCAUUACCGCGUAUUUAAUCGAAUAUUUUAACCCAAAUCAUACUUCUGAAUCGACGUACAUAUUUUGAAUAAAUAUUUUGCAAAAUUGGUUCUGUUUUAGAACAAAAUUUGGCCAACCAUCACAUUGGAACACUUGUCUACCUUUAGCUCCAUGUUAGAAAAAAUAAACAAAGAACAAUGAUCGUUAUUUCUGUAUGUUUAAUGAAUGUUUGUAAUUUUGAAACUUAUGAUGGCACUUAGUAGAGCAUAAGGUGGAGCAAAAUCUUCCCUAUUAACAACACAAGUAACAUCUAAUUAAUUAUAAAUAAUUAUUCUAAUUCAUUGCAUUUCAGAUAAAAAAAUAUUAAGUAAACAAGGUCGAAAAGACCUGUUUAUGAAAUAUAAAAAGAUGUAAAAUGUACCAAAGUAUGAUAAUUUAUACUGAAGAAGCGCCUACACAAGCAAUAGACACACACACACUACGCUUUUUUCCACACGCAAAACUAACUUUAUUUUUUUUUUAACUAUAAUAGUUACUCGAACAUUACGUACGAAGUUGACCAAUCAUUAUAUUUUUUAAUUUAAAUUUCUCGCUAGCUUAACUGAAAGCUCACGCCUAAUGUAAAGUCGGUCGCUUCGCUGUUAACUGUUUUUUCAUACAUUUAAAGAACUUAUAUUUAAAAAUCUGUCUUUUCCACAUCAACAUCUUCUUGAAAUGUGGUUUCUUAGAAGUUUGCACUUGAAAUGUUAAUUUUAAACUUUAAAAGUAGAUAGAGCGAUUCAUAAUAUUCAACUACUGACGACGUUUGCGCGCAAAAUUCAAAUGUGAACGUAUUAUGACGGUUUAUGGGCCAGCGUGGGUCUUAUAGAUCCUACCAGACAUGCUGAGGGUUAACGAUAAAAUUUUAAUUUAUUCUUCUAGAGAUUUUGCUUUUCCUGGAUCUGCUCUACUAGUUACCACCUUCACUGUAAAUAUUAAUGUUCAUAACGUAUUUCAAGAUGUCAGCGAGAAUAUAAUUUAAUGAUUGUUUGUUGUAAGCGGCUCGACUGAUUCGACGUAAAUAAUUAAUCAAUGUUACACAAUUUCUUUAACUGUCUGUAAUUUAGUGAUCGUGUUCAAGUCAAAAGAAAUUUUUAUUAAAUAAACUCUAAAAAGUC